UACAUUUUGGUGUAUGGUGCACAUGAGUUUUUGAUGCUCUAGGUGUCAGUUUAAUUCUGUCGGAUGUAA
rnacentral:tRNA from 1 species